rnacentral:rRNA from 1 species
UACGUAGGGGGCAAGCGUUGUCCGGAUUUAUUGGGCGUAAAGAGCGUGUAGGCGGCCAAGCAGGUCAGCUGUGAAAACUCGAGGCUCAACCUCGAGACGUCGGUUGAAACCGCUUGGCUAGAGUCCGGAAGAGGAGAGUGGAAUUCCCGGUGUAGCGGUGAAAUGCGCAGAUAUCGGGAAGAACACCAGUGGCGAAGGCGGCUCACUGGCCCGAUACUGACGCUGAGGCACGAAAGCGUGGGGAGCAAACAGG